CUUUACGGCAGGGGUGAGCGGGGUCGCAGCCGAACCUCGCCGGCUACCGUGCGAAGCUCAGAGGGGAUCGGGUCUUUCCCGCCGGAGCGUGGCCUCAGCCACGUUGGUCCCCUCAGCCCUCCUUCGUGUCCUUUCCCUGGGGCAACGCGAGGCGACGCGGGCCGGGACCGGCAGCCUUUCUGGUCCCAGGGACCCUCCCCAUCCUCUAACGUCUGAGCAGCCUGUACCCUGCGUGCAAGGUGGAGGCUUCCUAAAGUAAGAAAAGAGAGUGAUGAAUGGCUCGUACGUUGCCUUUGUGUGGAACCAUCGUUGAGCCAUAGACCAGGAGCAAACACUGAAUUCACAUGUCUCGUAGGUGGCGGCUUGCUAAAGUAAGAGAAGAGUGUGAUCACCGGCUCCUUCGUUGCCUUGGUGUGGAGCCAGCGUUGAGGCGUAGACCGAGACCAGACACUGAUUUCACACGUCUCGUAGGUGGCGGCUCGCUAAAGUAAGAAAAGAGCGUGAUCGCCGGCUCCUUCGUUGCCUUGGUGUGGAGCCAGCGUUGAGGCAUAGACCGAGACCAGACACUGAUUUCACACUUCUCGUAGGUGGCGGCUUGCUAAAGUAAGAGAAGAGUGUGAUCACCGGCUCCUUCGUUGCCUUGGUGUGGAGCCAGCGUUGAGGCGUAGACCGAGACCAGACACUGAUUUCACACGUCUCGUAGGUGGCGGCUCGCUAAAGUAAGAAAAGAGCGUGAUCGCCGGCUCCUUCGUUGCCUUGGUGUGGAGCCAGCGUUGAGGCAUAGACCGAGACCAGACACUGAUUUCACACUUCUCGUAGGUGGCGGCUUGCUAAAGUAAGAGAAGAGUGUGAUCAACGGCUCCUUCGUUGCCUUGGUGUGGAGCCAGCGUUGAGGCGUAGACCGAGACCAGACAGUGAUUUCACACGUCUCGUAGGUGGCGGCUCGCUAAAGUAAGAAAAGAGCGUGAUCGCCGGCUCCUUCGUUGCCUUGGUGUGGAGCCAGCGUUGAGGCAUAGACCGAGACCAGACACUGAUUUCACACUUCUCGUAGGUGGCGGCUUGCUAAAGUAAGAGAAGAGUGUGAUCAACGGCUCCUUCGUUGCCUUGGUGUGGAGCCAGCGUUGAGGCAUAGACCGAGACCAGACACUGAUUUCACACGUCUCGUAGGUGGCGGCUCGCUAAAGUAAGAAAAGAGCGUGAUCGCCGGCUCCUUCGUUGCCUUGGUGUGGAGCCAGCGUUGAGGCAUAGACCGAGACCAGACACUGAUUUCACACUUCUCGUAGGUGGCGGCUUGCUAAAGUAAGAGAAGAGUGUGAUCACCGGCUCCUUCGUUGCCUUGGUGUGGAGCCAGCGUUGAGGCGUAGACCGAGACCAGACACUGAUUUCACACGUCUCGUAGGUGGCGGCUCGCUAAAGUAAGAAAAGAGCGUGAUCGCCGGCUCCUUCGUUGCCUUGGUGUGGAGCCAGCGUUGAGGCAUAGACCGAGACCAGACACUGAUUUCACACUUCUCGUAGGUGGCGGCUUGCUAAAGUAAGAGAAGAGUGUGAUCAACGGCUCCUUCGUUGCCUUGGUGUGGAGCCAGCGUUGAGGCGUAGACCGAGACCAGACACUGAUUUCACACGUCUCGUAGGUGGCGGCUCGCUAAAGUAAGAAAAGAGCGUGAUCGCCGGCUCCUUCGUUGCCUUGGUGUGGAGCCAGCGUUGAGGCAUAGACCGAGACCAGACACUGAUUUCACACUUCUCGUAGGUGGCGGCUUGCUAAAGUAAGAGAAGAGUGUGAUCAACGGCUCCUUCGUUGCCUUGGUGUGGAGCCAGCGUUGAGGCAUAGACCGAGACCAGACACUGAUUUCACACGUCUCGUAGGUGGCGGCUCGCUAAAGUAAGAAAAGAGCGUGAUCGCCGGCUCCUUCGUUGCCUUGGUGUGGAGCCAGCGUUGAGGCAUAGACCGAGACCAGACACUGAUUUCACACUUCUCGUAGGUGGCGGCUUGCUAAAGUAAGAGAAGAGUGUGAUCAACGGCUCCUUCGUUGCCUUGGUGUGGAGCCAGCGUUGAGGCGUAGACCGAGACCAGACACUGAUUUCACACGUCUCGUAGGUGGCGGCUCGCUAAAGUAAGAAAAGAGCGUGAUCGCCGGCUCCUUCGUUGCCUUGGUGUGGAGCCAGCGUUGAGGCAUAGACCGAGACCAGACACUGAUUUCACACUUCUCGUAGGUGGCGGCUUGCUAAAGUAAGAGAAGAGUGUGAUCAACGGCUCCUUCGUUGCCUUGGUGUGGAGCCAGCGUUGAGGCGUAGACCGAGACCAGACACUGAUUUCACACGUCUCGUAGGUGGCGGCUCGCUAAAGUAAGAAAAGAGCGUGAUCGCCGGCUCCUUCGUUGCCUUGGUGUGGAGCCAGCGUUGAGGCAUAGACCGAGACCAGACACUGAUUUCACACUUCUCGUAGGUGGCGGCUUGCUAAAGUAAGAGAAGAGUGUGAUCAACGGCUCCUUCGUUGCCUUGGUGUGGAGCCAGCGUUGAGGCGUAGACCGAGACCAGACACUGAUUUCACACGUCUCGUAGGUGGCGGCUCGCUAAAGUAAGAAAAGAGCGUGAUCGCCGGCUCCUUCGUUGCCUUGGUGUGGAGCCAGCGUUGAGGCAUAGACCGAGACCAGACACUGAUUUCACACUUCUCGUAGGUGGCGGCUUGCUAAAGUAAGAGAAGAGUGUGAUCAACGGCUCCUUCGUUGCCUUGGUGUGGAGCCAGCGUUGAGGCGUAGACCGAGACCAGACACUGAUUUCACACGUCUCGUAGGUGGCGGCUCGCUAAAGUAAGAAAAGAGCGUGAUCGCCGGCUCCUUCGUUGCCUUGGUGUGGAGCCAGCGUUGAGGCAUAGACCGAGACCAGACACUGAUUUCACACUUCUCGUAGGUGGCGGCUUGCUAAAGUAAGAGAAGAGUGUGAUCAACGGCUCCUUCGUUGCCUUGGUGUGGAGCCAGCGUUGAGGCGUAGACCGAGACCAGACACUGAUUUCACACGUCUCGUAGGUGGCGGCUCGCUAAAGUAAGAAAAGAGCGUGAUCGCCGGCUCCUUCAUUGCCUUGGUGUGGAGCCAGCGUUGAGGCAUAGACCGAGACCAGACACUGAUUUCACACUUCUCGUAGGUGGCGGCUUGCUAAAGUAAGAGAAGAGUGUGAUCAACGGCUCCUUCGUUGCCUUGGUGUGGAGCCAGCGUUGAGGCAUAGACCGAGACCAGACACUGAUUUCACACGUCUCAUAGGUGGCGGCUCGCUAAAGUAAGAAAAGAGCGUGAUCGCCGGCUCCUUCGUUGCCUUGGUGUGGAGCCAGCGUUGAGGCAUAGACCGAGACCAGACACUGAUUUCACACUUCUCGUAGGUGGCGGCUUGCUAAAGUAAGAGAAGAGUGUGAUCAACGGCUCCUUCGUUGCCUUGGUGUGGAGCCAGCGUUGAGGCAUAGACCGAGACCAGACACUGAUUUCACACGUCUCGUAGGUGGCGGCUCGCUAAAGUAAGAAAAGAGCGUGAUCGCCGGCUCCUUCGUUGCCUUGGUGUGGAGCCAGCGUUGAGGCAUAGACCGAGACCAGACACUGAUUUCACACUUCUCGUAGGUGGCGGCUUGCUAAAGUAAGAGAAGAGUGUGAUCAACGGCUCCUUCGUUGCCUUGGUGUGGAGCCAGCGUUGAGGCGUAGACCGAGACCAGACACUGAUUUCACACGUCUCGUAGGUGGCGGCUCGCUAAAGUAAGAAAAGAGCGUGAUCGCCGGCUCCUUCGUUGCCUUGGUGUGGAGCCAGCGUUGAGGCAUAGACCGAGACCAGACACUGAUUUCACACUUCUCGUAGGUGGCGGCUUGCUAAAGUAAGAGAAGAGUGUGAUCAACGGCUCCUUCGUUGCCUUGGUGUGGAGCCAGCGUUGAGGCAUAGACCGAGACCAGACACUGAUUUCACACGUCUCGUAGGUGGCGGCUCGCUAAAGUAAGAAAAGAGCGUGAUCGCCGGCUCCUUCGUUGCCUUGGUGUGGAGCCAGCGUUGAGGCAUAGACCGAGACCAGACACUGAUUUCACACUUCUCGUAGGUGCGGAAUACAGCCCUCAGCCGUGCUUUGGUUCUGUUACCCGCUUAGUACAGUAGGCCACCCCUCUCAGGGCAGGUCUCUCAGCGAAUUUCUCGGGUUACUGUCUGGUUAGUAGCGUGUUCAGCUAUCCUUAGUGGCUACAGUUUUCCCUGCUUGAUUCAACUAUCAACCAUUCUCAAGUUCAAGGGCGCCUGAAUUCCAUUUUAACUUGAGCCUGGCAAGGGCCAUUAUGUUCCUGGAGCCGAUUUCACCUGUCUGAUGGGUGUGGAAGAGAACUCACCGGUGUACUGUUUGGUUUACUCCUUUGCCUUUGAGAAAGAUGAUUUUCCGAAGUAUCUUAAUCCAGUUUGCCCUAUUUCCAUGGGGGUGCUUCGUUAAUGCUAAGACUGAGCAAAGGCAGCGUUAGUUCAGCAACCUGAGUCCUUGUAAACCUAUCAAAAGUAGCCUUCCUGCAGGAUCGCCAGGUGGCCGGGGGCAGGCGCUUCAGAGCCUUGUUCUUGAACAUGGCCGCUGCCGACGCCAUGCCCCCGAGCGCUUGACAACCAAGGGCUCCUUGCUUGGUAUGCCAGGCCCCCGAAUUCCACUGCCUGUUGUUCCCACACCUGUUCUGGUGAAGAGACAGGCCACGAGUUUCGCCCAGGGUCUUCCGAGAUCUCCAGACCCUCACUUCCUCCAGUCACAGGCCUUCCCCCAGCAGGAUAUACAGGAAAGGCCUGCAUGACAUUCUCAAAAGGUUUCCGCUUGAUUGCACUGUUUCUCUAGAAAUGCCAACCACCCUCUGAUCUGUGCCUCUCCGUCCAUCCUUUGCAUGUUAAAAAAGGCCCUUGGUAGCACAAUAUUCUUCCAAACCCUUCCAGCUGUGUUGGCUCCACUGGACUCUUGAAGAAAGAGGUGUCUCCUUUAGGUGUCUUUUCCUUGGCAAUAAGGUCAUAUCUUUGAGGAUAUCCAAAGUAUCCUUUCCACCUGUAGUCCAGGUUCACAGCAGUCUAGCAAAUUCUGAGUCCACAUGUCCUGGACGGUACGUUUUCUGGCGAUCAGUAUGUGAUAUAAUCUCUCAGUUGGUUAUUGGUCAAGUUUGAGGGCAGAAUUCCCUUGAUGAUGUAAUAAUUAUGCUUUCGUUGAAGGGCUUUGCCACUUGGAAGAAAUCUAGGUUGUAACCUCGCAUACAAAAUGUGUGUUCGUUUUAUAUGGAUCCUUUCGGAAUAGGAGUAGAGAUUCUGUAAUCAUCAUCACUAUAAAUGUCUAGGUAGUUUUAGGAAAGCUUUAAAUAUACUAUAUAUUCAAUAAAUCCCCAUUUUUACCUCC